AAAAUACACAAAAUACAAUUUUUUUUGUUUGACAUUUUAAAAUGGCUUCCCAGUUUGCUCACCUGGGAAUGCCACUACCACCACAGUUAAAUGAUUUAUAAUAACGUUGGGUUUCCAUAAUGGAAACCCCUACCCUACACUCCUACUCAUGGCCACAUUUGUUUAAUCGUUUCUUUAACAUGGCAUCCCCUACUUAUGGCGGAAUUUGUUUAAUCGUUUCUUAAACAUGCCAUCCCCUACUUACUCAUUCUCACCCAUCCGGUGGGACAAGCCGAAAAGGCGACAAUUAGUAGGCUGUGGAAUCGAUUAAAAGCAGAUUUUUGAGCACCAAAAAUGUGCUAGAAAAAUAUUGUGUGAAAUAUUCAGUUCACAUUUAUUUUUCAGUGGGUCGAAAAGCAAAUGAAAAAUACACAAAAUACACUUUUUUUUGUUUGACAUUUUAAAAUGGCUUCCCAGUUUGCUCACCUGGGAAUGCCACUACCACCACAGUUAAAUGAUUUAUAAUAACGUUGGGUUUCCAUAAUGGAAACCCCUAUCCUACACUCCUACUCAUGGCCACAUUUGUUUAAUCGUUUCUUAAACAUGGCAUCCCCUACUUAUGGCGGAAUUUGUUUAAUCGUUUCUUAAACAUGCAAUACUGCUAGCUUCCAAUAGCCCGCUAUCAAAUGCUACACUAAACUACCGCACCUAUUGCGGUACCAAGUCUAGGAUAUUCGGUGUCUUCCACAGAGACGACUACAUCUUCAUUUGCGGCUGGACCGCAAUGAUAGAGGAUACAAUACAACUUUAAUGAAAUGAGCCCAAGUUCUUGUUAUCAAUAAAUAAAAUAGCAUUUACUUUGAA
rnacentral:sRNA from 1 species